rnacentral:rRNA from 1 species
AACGAACGCUGGCGGCGUGCCUAACACAUGCAAGUCGAGCGCGAAAAGAGCAAUCUGAGUAGAGCGGCGCACGGGUGCGUAACACGUGGGUAAUCUGCCUCAAGGUCUGGGAUAACCUUCCGAAAGGUUGGCUAAUACCAGGUAAGCUCAAGGUGACUUCGAUCGCUGAGAGAAAAGGGGCCCGAAAGGGUCUCGCCAUGAGAUGAGCCCGCGGCCCAUCAGCAGUUGGUGAGGUAACGGCCCACCAAGGCUACGACGGGUAGCUGGUCUGAGAGGACGAUCAGCCACACUGGAACUGAGACACGGUCCAGACUCCUACGGGAGGCAGCAGUGGGAAUUUUGCACAAUGGGCGAAAGCCUGAUGCAGCAACGCCGCGUGUGUGAUGAAGGUCUUCGGAUCGUAAAGCACUUUCGACCGGGACGAACAAGCCUGGCCACACCAGGCCCUGACGGUACCGGGAGAAGAAGCACCGGCUAACUCUGUGCCA